UGGGGAAUUUUGGACAAUGGGCGAAAGCCUGAUCCAGCAAUGCCGCGUGUGUGAAGAAGGCCUUCGGGUUGUAAAGCACUUUUGUCCGGAAAGAAAUCCUUGGCUCUAAUACAGUCGGGGGACGACGGUACCGGAAGAAUAAGCACCGGCUAACUACGUGCCAGCAGCCGCGGUAAUACGUAGGGUGCAAGCGUUAAUCGGAAUUACUGGGCGUAAAGCGUGCGCAGGCGGUUUGCUAAGACCGAUGUGAAAUCCCCGGGCUCAACCUGGGAACUGCAUUGGUGACUGGCAGGCUAGAGUAUGGCAGAGGGGGGUAGAAUUCCACGUGUAGCGGUGAAAUGCGUAGAGAUGUGGAGGAAUACCGAUGGCGAAGGCAGCCCCCUGGGCCAAUACUGACGCUCAUGCACGAAAGCGUGGGGAGCAAACAGGAUUAGAUACCCUGGUAGUCCACGCCCUAAAACGAUGUCAACUAGUUGUUGGGGAUUCAUUUCCUUAGUAACGUAGCUAACGCGUGAAGUUGACCGCCUGGGGAGUACGGUCGC
rnacentral:rRNA from 1 species